rnacentral:lncRNA from 1 species
GCUUUCUGUGCACCCUUGGCUACUCACUGUACUGACAGUAACAGCAGGAGCUGUGCCAUUCUAUGCCUACAGUGUAAUCUGAAGGUAUCAAGCUAAAGGAGAUUUACCUAAUCUGUUUUUAAAUUACACAGUUCUGGCAUCAGAUAGUACUAUUUUGUAGAGUUGAAUGGUCAUUACUGAAGCAUAGAAAUCUGCCAUAAACACAUUUCAGGGGAUUUUACAUUGGCUCAUGUUCUGAGUGCUGAUAAGGAUUUGGAGCACAUUAAGAUGGUCAGGAGAUCUGUAUCAAAAAUUGUAUUUCUGACUUGAACUAAGAUAUUCUUGUUGAUACAUCAGCAUUAAUAUUCUGCACUUGGAGGUGUGUGGGGGUGAAUGUGUCUAUGUAAGAGCUCCAUUUUAAGCAACAGGCCCUCUCUGGUUGAGUCUUAAGUACUUUUACCAUGUUUAUGCAGUAUGGUUAUCAUUACUAUUCUUAUUUUACAGGCAGCAGUAUCUAAGGACAAAAAGGUUAAGGUACUGGAGUAUAGUUGAGCUAAGACAUUAUUGUUUAGCAUCAUGGGUCACAAACAAAUGAAGUUCAACUAAAAAAGAAACAACAAUGGAGGGAAAAACAACUACAUACUCCACACUAUUAGGCUGUUAAAAACAAAGUGGCACUGCUGUCUUUUAUGUAAGGAUCUUCAUCCAGAACUCCCGAAUUUGUAAAGAAAUUAAAAAGAAAAGCACUUCCUUCAUGCCACCAAGCAAGGAUGAUUUCCAGGUCCUGAUUUCCAGGUUUAAAUCUCAUGUCAGAAACUUGUCCACUCAACCUUUAUCUUUCCUUCAUUCAUGACACAUAAAUGUUAAUGGAAUUUGAAAAACUUGACAUUUUCAGAAGUUGCAAAAGCUCCUUCUAACUUAAAUGAUGUUUAUCACCUCAGGAAAAUUCCUCCAAAAAUCAGCAUGACUACCUUCAUUGUAUGUAAGUACAAACAAGCAUUUGCCCUAAUAUAUAGUUAAAAUUACAUCUUGAGUGAUUUAAAGUGAUUUAAAGUGAUACACUUAUUUUUGUAUAGCAGAGUAAUGCCCAUACAACCUCUCUGAAAUUUCUCUCAAUAUCAAAUAUCUCCCAAAAAGGGAAGGGAAGGGAAGGGAAGGGAAGGGAAGGGAAGGGAAGGGA